rnacentral:rRNA from 1 species
CCUACGGGAGGCAGCAGUGGGGAAUAUUGCACAAUGGGGGAAACCCUGAUGCAGCGACGCCGCGUGAGUGAAGAAGUAAUUCGUUAUGUAAAGCUCUAUCAGCAGGGAAGAAAAUGACGGUACCUGAGUAAGAAGCCCCGGCUAACUACGUGCCAGCAGCCGCGGUAAUACGUAGGGGGAAAGCGUUCUCCGGAUUUACUGGGUGGAAAGGGAGCGUGGACGGCAGUGCAAGUCUGGAGUGAAAGGCGGGGGCUCAACCCCCGGACGGAUCUGGAAACUGUACGGCUGGAGUGCAGGAGAGGUAAGUGGAAUUCCAAGUGUAGCGGUGAAAUGCGUAGAGAUUAGGAGGAACACCAGUGGCGAAGGCGGCUUACUGGACUGUAACUGACGUUGAGGCUCGAAAGCGUGGGGAGCAAACAGGAUUAGAUACCCUGGUAGUC